rnacentral:rRNA from 1 species
UCCUGCCAGAGGUUACUGCUAUCGAGGUUCGACUAAGCCAUGCGAGUCGAAUGUAGCAAUACAUGGCGUACUGCUCAGUAACACGUGGACAACCUACCCUCCGGACGGGUAUAAACCCGGGAAACUGGGUAUAAUCCCCGAUAGAUCUCGGUCGCUGGAAAGCCCCGAGAUCGAAAGCUCCGGCGCCAGAGGAUGGGUCUGCGGCCUAUCAGGUAGUAGUGGGUGUAGCGUACCUACUAGCCUACGACGGGUACGGGUUGUGAGAGCAAGAGCCCGGAGAUGGAUUCUGAGACACGAAUCCAGGCCCUACGGGGUGCAGCAGGCGCGAAAACUUUACAAUGCCGGCAACGGCGAUAAGGGGACCUCGAGUGCCAGGUUACAAAUCUGGCUGUCGUGAUGCCUAAAAAGCAUUGCAUAGCAAGGGCCGGGCAAGACCGGUGCCAGCCGCCGCGGUAACACCGGCG